UCCGAUAUGGUGUAGUGGCUAACAUUAUCGCCUCUCAUGGAUUUCAUCCCAGGUGUCUGGUGAACGCGAUAGCCCGGGGUUCGAUUCCCCGUGUCGGAA